GCGGGAGGAAGAGGAGGGAGGGAAGGAGGAAGAGGAGCGGGAGAAUCCCGCCGCUCGUACCGCCCGCACGCUGAGUGUGCAGCACCCCCUGCCCCGGGAGCAUCGCCCCCAGCCCCGAGCCGCAGGCUGCCUCCGAGAGCGAAGGGGAGAAGGAAGAAGCAGCAGUUUGUUUUCAGAAACUACACUCACUCCUCCACAUUCCAUCUCCUGGAUUGUUCUGCUGCCUUAAGGAGCUGGAACAGAGGCCAGACGGAGCUAAGAGGAAUAAAGUGAAUUUUUAUUCAAUUGCCUUCAAAGGCCACACUCUGGCAGUACCGGAGCCAUAGUGGUGUCUCUGCCCAGAUGGCUCCAAGACGGGAGCAUAAGAGGGCUCGGUCACAAGAUCUCACAUUUUUAUAAGUUUUAGUCCAUUUGUAUAUAGGAGUUAACUGCCCAAUCAAUAGCUUCAAAUUAUGAAGUUUCAUCCUCCUUCCUUGCUUGCCCACCCUCCUCUUUUCAUGUUGUUUGCGCUUUGGGCCUGAAGUUUGAAGAGAUUGUCCUUGAGUCUCCAGCUAGAAUGGGAUUGUUUUGUCUUCACCACCCCGGGAAAAGAUCCCAGUAAUACUUAAUAUAAAGCUAAAAGCUGCACACCAAAACAGAACAGAAAAACUUAAAAUCUAAGGUAUCAGUUGUCUAUAAAUGGACAGACAGCAGGACAGAGCUCUCCUUUGCUUUUAGUUAGUUUUUAGCUUCCUGAGGCAGAGAAGUUCCCUGGACUGUGUUUUUUCUUUUUCUUUGGAGCUCUUUAAACCUGCUCUGGACUGAACACCCAGAACACCACUGGCAGCUCGCACCUGUGGUCCACCGGGCCGGUUCUGGGCCACGGCAUUUCCAGUGCCAGAGGGACUGAAAAGAGACUGAUAAGAGACUGAUCAGAGACUGAGUGAGCCGAGUUACAGCCCACGGAGGGACUUUCUGAGUUUGUCAUCUCUUUUGGAGUGGCAGAGGUUUUAUUUUUUAAUAUUGUUUAUUUUUUGUGCUGGUGAUGCUUUGCCUUUUAAAUAAACAGUUUUUUCCCCUUUU